rnacentral:rRNA from 1 species
AUUGAACGCUGGCGGCAGGCCUAACACAUGCAAGUCGAGCGGAUGACGGGAGCUUGCUCCUUGAUUCAGCGGCGGACGGGUGAGUAAUGCCUAGGAAUCUGCCUGGUAGUGGGGGACAACGUUUCGAAAGGAGCGCUAAUACCGCAUACGUCCUACGGGAGAAAGCAGGGGACCUUCGGGCCUUGCGCUCUCAGAUGAGCCUAGGUCGGAUUAGCUAGUAGGUGAGGUAAUGGCUCACCUAGGCGACGAUCCGUAACUGGUCUGAGAGGAUGAUCAGUCACACUGGAACUGAGACACGGUCCAGACUCCUACGGGAGGCAGCAGUGGGGAAUAUUGGACAAUGGGCGAAAGCCUGAUCCAGCCAUGCCGCGUGUGUGAAGAAGGUCUUCGGAUUGUAAAGCACUUUAAGUUGGGAGGAAGGGCAGUAAGCUAAUACCUUGCUGUUUUGACGUUACCGACAGAAUAAGCACCGGCUAACUCUGUGCCAGCAGCCGCAGUAACAC